AUUCAUGUUAUCGCAACAUAGGAAUUAACAUUUAGGUUGGAGAACAUUAAUGUGAUUUUUUUUUUCUGAUAUAAUUUAUGUGAACAUUUUAACAUCUUAUUUGAAGAUGCUCUAAUGAAAAAGAAAUUGAAAGUAAAUUUCUUGUGAAUGAUGAAGUAAUUGCCGUUGGAAAACGCUUGACUUUAUCUCUGAAGUUUUUCCGUUCGAUUUGAGAUGACAACCGAUUGAAAACAUGGAACCUUGAUGAAAGUUCAAGGUUAUAAUACAAGUGGAUAGACUCUUAAAAAACAAAUGUUCUCUUUGUUUAUACUAAGAGAGAAAAAUCAUGGUGCAUCGAUUCGUGUUAUGAACACAAAAAAAUCUCUUGGUAAGAAGAUUGAUUAGUUAAUGCAGUUCCGUUUAAACAGAAUUACGAAUGAAUUUUAACGAACAUGAAAUUUAUACUCGUUUCAACACUUUUACACGGCGUGAAUAUAAGUAAAUAAAUUUGAACACGACCAGCUAUCCACCCUAAAAAUUUAUGAUGCCUUUUCUGACAAAAAAAUUGAAAAAAAAAAAGGAAAAUGAAAAGACUAGCCUUCUUCUCCAAGGCUCCAUUGCCUUCUAGAGUGUCCUCUUCCUUAUCCACCAGUAUAACACUGCCACGUGGUAUGAGAUUUUCUUGAAUCCCGCUGGCCAAAGAAAUCCCGGUCCAACAAGGACGGCGCAUCCUGACCACAAACGGAAAAUAAAAAUAAAUAAAUAAAUGGUAGCGUUGGUUUCAAGUCGUAACCAACCGACUUAGGAAACCGCGGCGACAGCUAACCAAUGUCCCUUUCUAUAUUAAAUCUCCACCCUCCAUUGAUCCCACUACUGUUUAAUCUCAGCCGUUCGUCUUGACCGCCUAUAUCUAUAAAUACCCCCCGAAGUCGUCCUCACAAUUCACUUGUUCGGCUAUUGCCGUUGAGCGCUAUGGCUUUAGCGAUCAGGUUUUCCGUCGUUUUUAGAUUUCGAUUCGUCUGUUAGGGCUCGGUUGAUUCCUGCGAUAUCGAUUGUAUGUUUCGAUGGAUUACGAUUGUUAUCGGUGUGAUUUUAGGGUUUGGAUUCUUGGCGAUGGUGAUUUUUCUUGCCAGGUUAAAAUUUUCGAUCUAACGAUGCUUGAAGGUUGAAUUUCCUUACAUAUUUCAAAUUUUUGGAUUGCGUUUCCGGUUUUGAUUCAUCUGUUUGGGACUGAUUGAUUGAUUGAUUAUGCGUUCGUAGUGCUGUCGGUGUGUUUCUAGGGUUUGGCUGGAUUCGUGACAGUCGCCUCUUCUUUUAACAGGUUUAAAAACGUUUGGAUCUGAUAAUUUUUGAAGGUUGCGAAUUCCCAAUCAAAUUUUGUGGAUAUUGAUGGAUUUUGAUAUCUCAUCUUAUAUCUGUUGAUCUGCUUUUGGGUUUUUUUUGAUUUGGUGUGGUGGUAGUGGUUCCAGGGCGUUUUGGAUUCAAUAACUGGUUCUGCUGGGGUUUCGAUUUGAAGAUCCUCUAGUUACCUCAUUGAAGUUUAUGAUAUGAUGAUUUAGUUUAGAAAUUUUGAUCCCCAUCCCCUAUGUGGUCGAAUAAAUGGAGCUUUGUUAACUUUCAGGCAUGGAUUGCGGGUUUCAGUCGCAUAGAUGUCUAAGACUCGAGCGGUUAGGUAUUGUAUUUGGCUAAUGUUUUGAUGGCGUUCUUGUGUGAUUGCUCUGUGGUUGGGUUUGUACUCCUGUUUUUGCGAUAACAAUCUUUUGUUGCCUCCCUUGAAUUUGCACUCUUAAUGUUUAUUUUCCUCCCUCAUACAAAAAUCGUUCUAAAUUUUAUUACCUUCUAUUGGCAGAUACUAAAUUGGGAAUUUGUACGGUAUUAUUUUACACGUAACUUGUAGUUUGUGUCGGGUUUUAUGUCCUCAAUAUUUAUUAUUUCAGUUGAAAAAGAAGUAUGGUCGUGACCACAAUCAAAUUUUCCAUUCAAUUCUGCGUCUUUUUGCAAUCUCCCGUUUUCAGAUCGUUUUAAUUAUUUAUUUUCCUUCAGAAAAUGUUUGGCCCGUGUUUAUUUUUGUAGUUUGGUUUCUUUUGUUUAGCAGGUUUGGAGUCACAUUUAGCCUUGUCUCCAGGAGUCGCAUUUAGCCUUGUCUCCAGUAUUCUUCUGCAACAACUUUUUAAUUUUUAAUUGUAAAGCAUUCUUCUGCAACUACUUUUUAAUUUUUAUUCCUAAAUAAAUAUUGUCUAUUAUGCAUUUUCAGGUUUCUUCUUCAGGGAUCAAUUUACACUAGGGUUUAAGGCUUCUUUCCCACAGUUUUUGUUUUCUCUAGUUCUAAGAGUUUUGAAGGUUUUUCGUUUUUUGUUUAGCAAUGUCUUAUGCAAAUGUGUUCGAAUUCUUCUUGGCCAGUCACAGCUGGGGUACGGUUAAUGAAAAGUGUUUCAGGGAGCUGAUGGUGUCUCGGUUUGUUUAUUCACCCUGCUUGGCUUCCUUUUUUCUGUUAAAUGUCCAUUAUAUUCGAUUGCUGUGUUGUCCUUCCUUUGAUGUUUAGUGCAGAUUCAUCAACAGAGAUAACUUCACUCUAUGCAUGGUACAAGUGCCCGGGUUUUAGGAGCCUCACUUCUUUAAAACACGAGCGGGACCUUUAAGAGGGGUUUUCUCUUGGCUUUUAAUUCUUUUUUUGUAUUUUAGAGCGUAUAGGUCUUGUGCCACAUUUUAAUCUUGUUGAGGGAGAACUGGGUGUUUCAAAGCUGGGGUUUGAGUGGUUCUGUGUGUGAUUAAACUUUUAUGAAUUUGAGCCAUUGUUAUAUCAAUGAUCUUAUUAAAAAAAAUUUCUGGUUACAGUUUCGCUGGGUUGAGGAAAAUGGCUGCCUGAUUUAAAGGGGGUUUGUUUCUUGGCUUAUGUUUUGAUCUCUGUAUUCUUAGGGCUUAUGAGAUCUAGCAUCAUUAUUUGUGGAAUGUUCUUUGCAGAUAAUGUAUCUUGUUUGUUUAUGAAGUCUCAUCUUGUUGGAGCAGAACAUGGUGGUUUGGAGGGGGUCUAAGUGCUUUCUUGCUUUUAAUUGAAUACUUAUUCUUGUGAUAUGUUUGGUCCUACGUUUGUGUCUACCCAUUCUUGUUUGUAUGCAGAUGUGGGUCAAAGUGCGCCUUGUUAGGAUUCUACAGUUUGGGAGCUUUGUGUGGCUUGGUUUGUUUAUUCACCCUGAUUGGCUUCUUGUUUCUGUUAAAUGUCCAUUACAUUCGAUUUCUGUGCUGUCCUUCCUUUGGUGUCUUAUGCAGAUGCAUCACAGCGUCCUAACUUUAUCCAUCCAUAGUAAAGAAUGUCGGGGUUUUAGGAGUUUCACUUCUUUAAAACAUGAGCGGGCAGAAUUUUAAUAGGGGGUUCCUCUUGGCUUAAGAUUCUGUUUUUGUAUUUUAGAGCGUAUGGAUCUUGCCAUAAUCUGAGCAAUGCUUCCUUAUGCAGACACAUUCUAAUCUUGUUGGAAGGAGAAAAUGCUGCUUCAAAGCGGGGGUUUGAGUGGUCUUGAUUGAUUUAAUUUUUUGUGAUUUUGAACCAUUGUUUGAACAAUGAUCUUUUCAAAUAUUUUCUGGCUAUGCAGUUUCGCUCGGUUGAAGGAAAAUGGCUGCCUGAUAUAAAAGGGGGUUUGAUGUUUCUUGGCUUAUGUUUCAAUAUUUGUUUUCUUAGGGCUUAUGAGAUCUAGCACCAUUAUUUGUGGAAUUUUCAUUGCAGAUGAUAUACUGUAUGGAGUUGGCUUGUUGAAGCAGAACGUGCGGUUUUUUAGUGGGGUUUUAAGUGCUUCCUUGUUUUUGCUUGAAUUUUCUAUUCUUUGGCUUUGUCUGGUUCAACGAUUUGUGUCUACCUAUUCUUGUUUGUAUGCAGAUGUGUUGAAGUGCAGCUAAUUAGGAGUCGAACAGUUUAAAGGAGAGCGGGUGUCCUUCUAUUAGGGGGUUCCUUUUUCUUCUGAUUAUAUUCUAUUUUCUUAGAGCGUAAAUUUUUGUGCCUUUAUUUGAGCACUGUUUUUAUAUGCAGACAUAUUCCUACGCCUGUCUGUAUACGAGGUCCAUGCUUGUUAGCUCUGUUGUAGAACGGGCUGUUUCUAAGAUGGGGUUUGAGUGAUUAUUGGAUUAUUUAAUUUCCUAUUUUUGGGUUAAUGUUACCUACUACCAUCAUUUGAUCAGUGAUUGAUGUUUCGUAUCAGAUGCUACCUGAAGUUCUGGUCGUGAAAUCUCACUUCAGUCGAUGAGCAAUUUGCUGCCUGCUUCAAAAGGGGGUUUGAUGUUUCUUGGUUUAUGCUUGCCUUUCUUAUAUAUUGGAGGUUGUGAGACAUGGACCAUUAUUUGCGCAAUUUUCUGUGCAGAUGCGUUUUAGAGUUCGUUUGCGUAUGGGGUUUAACUUUGUGCAAGGAGAAAGGGGUGCUUUGAAGGGGGUUUCUUUUGAUUCUGUUUAAAAUUUCUAUUUGUCAACUCUGUAUGCGAUUCUACGCCAAUGAUUUGAGCAACAUUUCUGUAUGCAGACCAUCUCUCUCUUGUCCAUUUAUGGCAACAACCUUGGAAGGAGCAGUUUGAAUAUGGGGGUUUGAGUAGUUCUUGGGUUAUUAUUUUAUUUCUUAUUCCUUUGGGUUGACGUGAGCUGAAACAAUCAUUGCAACAAUGUUUCAUGCAGUUCCAUUCCAGAUAGUCUAUUUAAGAAGUCUGUUGGAUGGAUUGGCCGACUGCUUUUGAAAAGGGGGUUUGAUGCUUCUAAGCUUAUAUACUCUUGUAUUCAUUAGACUAAAUGCGGUCCUGGACUAUCAUUUGAGCAAUAAUUUAUGCAGAUGCCUUUGUCUUUUGUCUGUUUGUGUAGUCUAACUUCAUUAUCGGAGAGCAGCAUGAGCAGGCAGCUUUUAAGAGGGGGUUUUUGGGCUUACAAUUAUUUUUUACUUUUUAUUUUUAAUUUUUUUUUAAUUAGUACGUAGCUUGUACCAUCCUUUGAGCAAUGGUUUUUGUAUGCAGACAUGUCCGGACUCUGUUUUUGUUAAAGGAGAGCGGUGGAUUUUAACAGGGGUUACCUUAUGUUUUUGUUUUAAUUGUCCGUUAUUAGACUUUGCAUGCAAUCUUGCACCAUGAGUGAGCAUUGUUUCUGUAUGCAGACAUAUUGGUGAGCAUUGGAAGGAGGGCAGUCUGAAUGGGGGUUUGAGUUCGGUUUUUGAUGUAAUUUCUUACUCGUUUGGGUUUGAUGAGAUCUGGAACUAUUAUUGGAACAUUGUUUUAUGCAGGACCCAUUCCAAUAUAGUCUGUUUAUGAAGUCUCAGAAUGUUGGAUGACAAUGGGCUGCCUGCUUUAAAGAGGGGGUUUGAUAUUUCUUAGCCUGUGUCUUGAUCUCCUAUUUCUUGAGUUUUGCGAUAUUGUUUGAGCAAUUAAUUAUGCAGAUGCCUUUUUUUGUGUCGGAUGGAGUGCAACUCAUUAUAGGAGCAGCCAACUUUUGAGAGGGGGUCUUUUUGGCUUACCGUUUUUUUUCCUUAGUUGGUGUGAUAGAGAUAUUUUAUAGUUAUUUGAGCAAUGUUUUUCGUACGCAGACAUGUCCACACAUUAGGUUGUAUGUCGUGUGCAAGUUCAGUGAGGGAGAAUGGGCUGCUUAUGAAAGGGGGGUUUCCAUAGCUUGCCUUAUGAAUUUGUUUUAAGUUUUUUGUGGGUUUUGAGAUGCUGAACCAUUAUACAGUCACUGUUUUAUUGCAGAUGUGUCUCAAACUUUUCGUUGCCUUACUCAGUUGAAUGAAAAACAGCCUGCCUGCUUUUAGGACGAAGUCAGAUACUUUUUUGGUUUGUUUGUAAUUUCUUUGUUCUUAUGAGACCUCUAUGAUUUUCAUUUUUACUUUCUUUGUUUAUAUAUUUGCUGUAUUAUUUGUGCAUACUUUUUGUAUGCAGAGACAUCCCAGCUUGUCUGUGCUCAGAAGGGGUGCGAAAUGCUUUUAGAAGGGGUUUGAGUUCUGGGCUUUUUACUUGAUUUCUUAUUGGUUUGGAUAUCAUUGUCUUCCACUAAUGCAUUUGCAGACGUUUUUAGCUUGGAGUCUUUCGUGGGUCUACUUUAUGGACAUUGUCCUCACAUUCGGUUUGCUUUUCAUCUGUCAUCCGUCACUAUGUUCAUAAAAAGAUUGUCUUCAUUGGGUUUACACUUCUUGGCUUCAUAGUCUUUUGGCACUGGUUUUACGCAUCUCAGCUGGGUUUAUGUUCAAAUGUUUCAGCUUGUUUGGAAGGUGGUACUCCCUAUUGUUUGACAGACGCCGGAUUUUGUUUGGUGACUUAAAAUUCUUCAUUUGGCAUUAUUUAUUUCAGUAAUGCAUUAUGCAGUUGUCUUUGAACAUAGUUACAGAGGAGAGCAGUCUGCGGCUGAUUUUAAGUUGGAUGAUGGUUCUUUUCUUCUAUUUAGCUUUCCUGUAGAGCGCCAUAAGAUCUGGUUCUAUAUGUCUGCAGUCUUUGGGUGGAGCUUUGCUUCAUUGGAUCUUAGAGGAGUAUGAACUGCUUCUAAGAUGGAGUUUGUUACUUCAUGGCUUUUAUCUUCAAGAUGGCACUUUACAUGGAUCGAAGUCAUGGAUUCUGGUUUUCUUUCAUCAACUGUUGUGAAUUCUGGUUUUGUUUCGACAACCAUGUUUGUGUCUUGCUGUGGUCCUGUGCAGAAUAAUGUCAAGUCUCAUUAGCUCCGGGUUGGGCUGAUUCAAUAUCUUCCACUUUCCUUGGCCAGAGAUUUCUUCUGGGAGUUGCUUUUGAUUAAGAGGUUCAUGCUUUCUGGCCUAUCAUGUUAUCGUUUAAUUUGCCAUCUGUAAGAGUUCAUAGUAUCCUGGCAGCUAUAACGAUGCAUUCCUGCACAAGGCCCUCGUUAGAAACUUAGAGUGGGGUGUUUAACAUGCUAACUAUCUGGCAGCAUUGUUUGGGAUAUAUGCGUGGACCUUAUAUCUUUUUUUCUUGAAUGAGUGUCAUGUUGAAGUUGAUGGAACUGACCGUGGAGUCGGGUUAUGUCCUGUUCAGACUUUAUUAUCUCCCAGUUUCUCAUCGAUCAUGUCUUUUGUUUCCCUUUGUGUACCUUGUCAUUAGUGGUGGUGGUAUUACUUAUGCAGUUGUAACUUAGGUGAGGUCUAACUUGAUUUCAAGUUUUGAUGAUGGAAAUAAAAGUGGUAUGAAAGUCCUUUUUCCCUUUUGUAUUGAAGUUUUGCAAUCUUGUAUUAUUAAUUUAAAUUCAGUUAUUUUUUUUAAUGUUUAAUGCAACUGUCUGUGAUUUUAUAUGUGCAAUGUCAUCGUGGAGAAAGGGAUGAAUAUGGUAGUGUUGCUUGAUUAAUAUUUUUAACUAAUUGAAAAUGAUGAAUAUUCUUAAUUGUGGGCUAAUUUUGAAAGCAGCUAAAUGAAGGGCAUCAAUAAUUCAUAGUGAGGUGAUCUGUAUCUGCAAUUGGAAUAUAAUGCUAAAACAAAGGGCAAAGCAUGUUAACUGGAUGAAGGAAUGCUUAUAUCGAAUCCGCUGGAAACCUGCUUUAGCAUAUCCCGUGCAGACCGGAGUGAGCUGCUAAAGCUUCAGCAGCCUUCGGGUGUUUGGGGGAAGAAAACCAUCAUCAUCCAAGACAAAAUCGAAGCACUCGAAGAAAAACAUGAACAUCCACCACGGUGACGCACUAUCGAAAAGGAGGGUGGCUGUGCUAGAAAAAUGAAGAUAUGUUUACAAAUUCAUCUUUUGGGAUUUGUUAUGUUGUGUUUCUGUUUUGGGCCCUGAGAUCUCUUUCCGUUUGAGCCCGCGGGAAAUUUCUGGUGUAAAUAUUCAAUUAGUUCGGACCUGUUUACUGUUAAACUGGAUCCAACAUGAUAAAAAUUCUUCGAGAUGUUAAUCGGCC